rnacentral:sRNA from 1 species
AUCUAGCCCUGAUAGAAGCGGCAUCCUUUUUUGAGGCACGAAAAAAAGAUACAGCGAAUAGCAGGAAAUAGC